rnacentral:rRNA from 1 species
CCUACGGGGGGCUGCAGUGGGGAAUAUUGGACAAUGGGGGGAACCCUGAUCCAGCCAUGCCGCGUGUGUGAAGAAGGCCCUCGGGUUGUAAAGCACUUUCAGUGAGGAAGAACGCCUGGUGGUUAAUACCCAUCAGGAAAGACAUCACUCACAGAAGAAGCACCGGCUAACUCCGUGCCAGCAGCCGCGGUAAUACGGAGGGUGCGAGCGUUAAUCGGAAUUACUGGGCGUAAAGCGCGCGUAGGUGGCUUGAUAAGCCGGUUGUGAAAGCCCCGAGCUCAACCUGGGAACGGCAUCCGGAACUGUCAAGCUAGAGUGCAGGAGAGGAAGGUAGAAUUCCCGGUGUAGCGGUGAAAUGCGUAGAGAUCGGGAGGAAUACCAGUGGCGAAGGCGGCCUUCUGGACUGACACUGACACUGAGGUGCGAAAGCGUGGGUAGCAAACAGGAUUAGAUACCCGUGUAGUC